rnacentral:rRNA from 1 species
UACGAAGGGUGCAAGCGUUACUCGGAAUUACUGGGCGUAAAGGGUGCGUAGGCGGGUCUUUAAGUCAGGGGGGAAAUCCUGGAGCUCAACUCCAGAACUGCCUUUGAUACUGAAGAUCUUGAGUUCGGGAGAGGUGAGUGGAACUGCGAGUGUAGAGGUGAAAUUCGUAGAUAUUCGCAAGAACACCGGUGGCGAAGGCGGCAUCCUGGACCAACACUGACGCUGAGUGAGCGAAAGCCAGGGGAGCAAACGGG